rnacentral:lncRNA from 1 species
UUAAAAAGUAAAUCCAUAUUGUGUUAAGAGGGCAUCCUCCAUAUCUUACCCUACUGAUUAUGCCAAAAUUGAUUUUUUUUUCCCCAAAAAGUGGGGACAAAUAGAAAAUGUCAGCGGAGGAAUGGCUUUUGAUGAGCUUGCAUUUUUCAGUUUGUGUUUGCUGUUAUGUGACAUAUUCUGGUUGUGAUGUCUGUAUAACAUUUUCCUCUCUGUUUUAAUCAGAAUGAGUCAGCCUCCUUGCUUUACGUGGACAGCAUAACGUAAGACACAUUUACAUUCUGAUUGUACACAAAUACACAACCCACUUGACACCUUGAGACACCCGGCGUCUGGACGAAGAUAGCGACUAGGUCACCCAGGCUUGGCAGGCCCAGGCUUGGCUCUCCCGUGCAAUCUGUGCUCGUGGUUUUGGCAGGUCCUCCCACUCCUCCUCCUCCCCUCCCCACCCAGACCCCCUCUUUGCCAGGGCUGUAUGUGCUGAUCUGAAGUACCUACCAUCUUCCAUCGUCUCCAACUGAAGAUUACACACCUGUCUGGCAUGUGUGAGCAGCCAGGGAUAGAGGCAGAGCCGCGCGGAUGGCAGCCAGCUCUGCUCCCCUGUCCCAGACUGCUCUGAUGUCAGCUGGCUGUGAAAGGGAAAGGGCCUUGUACUGACCAGAAACUGUGAUUAAGCUUGAACUGGGAUGUGGCCAGAGCUCUGGACCAACGCCACGCUGCCCUUGUCUGCGCGAGCUGCCCCGCCAAGAUUCUCCAGCCCUGGUGAGACUAAGUCUGCAGCAAAAAGGAAGUGAAAGAGGAUGCACAGUACACAAACAAGAGCAGGAGGGUCUUUCCAUCUUCGGGGGAAUAAGAACAUCUGGGUUUGUGAGAAGUAGAAACCUUUGGAACUGGUCUGCACAUUUCCUGUGUGAGGAGAUUGAACUUUUCCUGCCCCUUUUCAUGUAUUUUCCUUCACUCUGCUAGGUUCUGCUGCUCUGCUUCAAGCAGGGGGGCAGUUGAGGGUAAACCCUCUGCUGUUUGAGGAGGGCUGAGCUGUUCUGUUAGUCUACACACACUGAAGGAACUACAGGCCAACUGUGGAUUCAGCUGGAGGUAUGUUAUUCUUCUCUCCAUCCUCGGUUCUGUUUUAGACUGAUAAAACAUAGCAAAACAGGACUAAAUUCAAAUGCAAAUCGAGGUUUUUGAGUUACUAACUUUCUCUAAAAGCCUUUUAUAAAGUCCUACCAAGAGGCUGUUGCUGCUUUAUUUGUCUGAACAUGUUUUUAACGUCAAGAGUGUGCGGUGUUAAUGCUGAGUCAUGUUUAAACACGCAGGUUUAAAAUAUUGUUGGAGCGCAAAGCUUCUCUCGAAUGUUAAAACAUUUACAAAAGCCAUUUAGAAAGAGCAUGUGUCCACCAUGAGGCAUGAUGAUAAGUAUAGCCCAUUUAAGUUUGUAUUAAGUGACAAAAUGCUUGAUGUGGCCAAAACGUUCCACAUGGAUCAAACCUUUGGCUGAUAGCGUAGUGUUUGGA